AUACUUAACUGGAUAUAAGGUCAGCCGUGAUCAAAAAGGUGGUUCCUUAGGAGCGAGGGCCUUCCAUGACACUCUGGUAGGCUUGUCCUCCUUCAUGAUCCCAAAUGUAGAUAACCGUAUAGCAUAAUUUCUGUCUGGGAAAAACCCUAU
rnacentral:snRNA from 1 species